GGGCUAACUCGAUUCUCUCUACACCCUUUGUGACAUACCUAUAACUGUUGCUUCGGCGGGUAGGGUCUCCGUGACCCUCCCGGCCUCCCGCCCCCGGGCGGGUCGGCGCCCGCCGGAGGAUAACCAAACUCUGAUUUAACGACGUUUCUUCUGAGUGGUACAAGCAAAUAAUCAAAACUUUUAACAACGGAUCUCUUGGUUCUGGCAUCGAUGAAGAACGCAGCGAAAUGCGAUAAGUAAUGUGAAUUGCAGAAUUCAGUGAAUCAUCGAAUCUUUGAACGCACAUUGCGCCCGCCAGCAUUCUGGCGGGCAUGCCUGUUCGAGCGUCAUUUCAACCCUCAAGCUCUGCUUGGUGUUGGGGCCCUACAGCCGAUGUAGGCCCUCAAAGGUAGUGGCGGACCCUCCCGGAGCCUCCUUUGCGUAGUAACUUUACGUCUCGCACUGGGAUCCGGAGGGACUCUUGCCGUAAAACCCCCAAUUUUCCAAAGGUUGACCUCGGAUCAGGUAGGAAUACCCGCUGAACUUAAGCAUAUCAAUAAGCGAAGGAACUUACUGAGUUUUAGCUCUAAACCUUGGGGAACAUCCUAUAAGGUGGCUUGCGGGGGGGGGCUCCCUGGCCCUCGGCUCCGCCCCGGGCGGGUGGGCGCCGGAGGAUACAACUCUGAUUUAAGACUUUCUUCGGGUGGUACAGCAAAUAAUCAAAAUUUUUAACACAAAUUUUGGUUUCUGCUCAGAAACAAACAACAAAAGCU
rnacentral:rRNA from 1 species